GGGCCGGCUGUAACUUAGCGGUUACUUCUACCUUCAGUGUUUUGAACGGAUCCUCAUGAAUCCCGUGUGCGCUAUCUGACUUUUUU